UACAGAGGGGGCAAGCGUUGUUCGGAAUUACUGGGCGUAAAGGGCGCGUAGGUGGCCUUCUAAGUUGAACGUGAAAUCCCUGGGCUCAACCCAGGAACUGCGUCCAAGACUGGGAGGCUUGAAUCCGGGAGAGGGAUGCGGAAUUCCAGGUGUAGCAGUGAAAUGCGUGGAUAUCGAUAGGAACACUCGUGGCGAAGGCGAGCUACGGGACAACAUCUGACGCUGAGGCUCGAAGGCCAGGGGAGCAAAAGGG
rnacentral:rRNA from 1 species